CAAUAUUUUUGUUUUGUUUUUUUAUUUUUGUAAAUGUAUUUACAUUACUUAUUGCUGUCCUGUCGGUGCCAAAAUGUGUUUUCAUCAUUACUCGACAAAAAUAUUUAUCUAGUACUAUACUGUGAUCUUGGCCACUAGGUGGCAGCAAGCCAAUCAACUGAGUAUACAUGCCUCCUGAAAUGUGAGCAUGGUUUUGACGAUGGAGUGAAGCAGUGAAAGGUGGAGGAAAUGGACAGGUGGAAAGACUACUUCCAUGCAAAAGGAGGCAGGCCAAGUACAUGCGAGCAGUGCUGCGCAGGAGCGGUUGACUGUAUGUUGACGUGGACUUACUGUAGAUUUCCACAGCUGGAAAAGAAGUGAAGGCUCAGGACUGGUGACGCAACAUCCUAACAAUACUGAGAGCAUCAUAGCUGGCAGCUAAGCUUGUAACCCUUGGCUACCAUUACCCCAUCUUCCUCCUCCCUCCCUCCUUCUCCUGCCUCCCAUAUCUUAUUGUUAUGCAACAGGGGUUUACGCCAUGUGCUACUGACUAGUUAAGUAUUUAUCAAGCCUCUUGUAUAAGCGGCGGACAGGAGGCGGCUGUCGGUUGACCCAGCUCCGUCUUUCCUCUGUGCUUGAUCAGUUUUCCUCACAUUCUGAGUGAGCUCAGUGUGUGCUCCCCCAGGAAGCCCUGACUCAUCCCGUCAAUUCAGCACUUGUCGUGUGUUGUGCCCGCGUGAGAGGAGCUCGGUCUCCCAUAUUUCCUGAUAAUGCCCACUUUCCAUGCAGCGUCACAACUCGGGAGCUGUGUGCCACACUCAAAAUCACACGACAAGGCGUUUGGCAGCCUCACCAUAAAACUCCCUGUUUUGUAUGCAAACAUGCGGGGAAGCGAGCAAAAAGGUGAACCUUCUUCAGGUUUUUUUAACAACAUUUCCACCAGAUUUAUAAAAAAGAUUUUUCAUAAAACUGCUUAGUUUUUUGUUAUUAAUUUUCAAUUUGCUGGAGCCUAUCCCAGCUGAUUUUGGGCACACUCUGGACUGGCUAAAGACAAAGAAUGCACAAUUUACAGUCACCAAUGAAACCUAAAAUGCCAAAUUUUUGUACACACAGGGGAGAAAAUGCAAGCUCCACACAGUGAUGCCCAUACAACAUCUUCCUGACUAAGAUGCUAACCACUUGCUAACCACCACAGUACGGCACCCUGAUUAUGCAGUCCUCUUCAAAUUCCAUCUGUCAUGUGGUCAAUACUAUUAUAGCUGAGACAAGACAUCACUCCUUCCUCAUCACCUCCCUGCUGUGUUUGCUCAGCCAGCUGAGGUUUGGCCAUCAUCAGCCCUCUCUUAUAAUCCAUUUUAACUGACAGAAAGAAGUCGGGCGAGAAUAAGAUGACAUCGGUCAUUGUUCAGGCUGAUAUUCCAACAUGAAUAUUUCAAACUGGCACCCUAGCCAGACACCUCUUGACAGCUGCCAAGGAGAUGUUGACGACGAGGGGAUUGUUGUCAGAUGAAAGAUGUGAUCAAAACAACCUGAGGUGGAUUGGUUUGACACAUCUGAAUGUGCCUCAUUAAUGUGUAUGGCCUCCACGUACUUGUAUGCGCUCCCUAAGGUGUGAUACUGAUGAGACCACGGAUGGUUCCAGGGGCAUCCAUCAAACUAUUACCGUAUGACAAAAGAUAUUUUUCAUCGUGCAACAGCACACUCUGACACCAAGUGUUUGUCAUGAAAGUAGAAGAUUGGAAUAUUCACCCUCACACGCCAGUGCUUUUGCCUAGCGCAGGGGUCGGCAACCUUUACUAUGAAAAGAGCCAUUUCACCCACUUGCCCACUAAAGAAAAAUAGCCUGGAGCCGCAAAACGUUGUAUGUUUAAAACAACAUUGGAGGGAAAAAAAAAAGACGAGUUGGAGUACUCUUGCUAGUACUGGAGAUAAACUUUUGUUUUUAAAUGAGCUCUAAUUUAUUUUUUAGAAUCGUCAAAUAACUCAUUAAUAAUAAUUAAUAACUCAAAGUAUUACUCAUUUCCCUUCAU